CAAUAGCGUAUAUUAAAGUUGUUGCAGUUAAAAAGCUCGUAGUUGGAUUUCUGGUGGGAGCGAUCGGUCUGGCGCUUAGCGCGAGUACUUGCAUCGUCUCCGGCCAUCCUUGGGGAGAGUCUGUCUGGCAUUAAGUUGUCGGGCAGAGGAUCCUCAUCGUUUACUGUGAAAAAAUUAGAGUGUUCAAAGCAGGCUUAUGCCGUUGAAUAUAUUAGCAUGGAAUAAUAAGAUAGGACUUUGGUGGUCUAUUUUGUUGGUUUGCACGCCAAAGUAAUGAUUAAUAGGGAUAGUUGGGGGUAUUCGUAUUCAAUUGUCAGAGGUGAAAUUCUUGGAUUUAUGGGAGACGAACUACUGCGAAAGCAUUUACCAAGGAUGUUUUCAUUAA
rnacentral:rRNA from 1 species